rnacentral:rRNA from 1 species
UACGAAGGGGGCUAGCGCUGCUCGGAAUCACUGGGCGUAAAGGGUGCGUAGGCGGGUCUUUAAGUCAGGGGUGAAAUCCUGGAGCUCAACUCCAGAACUGCCUUUGAUACUGAGGAUCUUGAGUUCGGGAGAGGUGAGUGGAACUGCGAGUGUAGAGGUGAAAUUCGUAGAUAUUCGCAAGAACACCAGUGGCGAAGGCGGCUCACUGGCCCGAUACUGACGCUGAGGCACGAAAGCGUGGGGAGCAACAGG